UAUGACCACAUCAAGUUGAAACACUGGCUCCCAUACAGUCAGUGAAGUUAAGCAAUGAUGAGUCUGGUCAGUACCUGGAUGGGUGACUGCUUGGGAAUACCAGAUGCU